ACAGUGACUGUUCUCUGAAAACUAUUUCAGUGAAGUGGAAGAUUUUAACCGACAAAUUGACAAACAAUUGAGGAAAGAAGGGAGACCAUUCAAUUGAUGGGUGUUGCUCUUACAUUUACACAUUUGGAGUUUGGAAUUAGAUAGUUGAAGCCAUUCUUGCAGCAACUGGUGGAAAAGGGGAUCUUUUUGGUGCUUUUGUUCUAGCACAAAUAAUUUUGUUCUUUCAUAUAAUAUAAAUAAAUACAUGUGUAUAUAUAAAUAAAUUCAUGCUUGAAUCAUU